AGUAUACAGAAUUUGCUGGGGCAGUUCCUACUAGACCUGCACAGGACAGUCAGGACUUGGCAUUUUCAGUUUCAAGGUUUAUACAAAAUGGUGGUUCUUUUGCCAACUACUACAUGUACCAUGGAGGAACGAAUUUUGGCCGAACUGCUAAUAUGGUAUGCAAUCUGGCAGAAAGAGUGAUCCCAGGAAUUGAGUUGGUGCGGUUAGCAUCAUGGUGUUUGCAGUAUGAACCUCAUGAGAGGCCAAAUGCCAAGUCUCUUGUGACUGCCCUUGUUCUUCUUCAAAAGGAAACUUCGUUGAAGCGUAAAGAUAUUAUAUCAGCUUUUGUUUCAUGUAUAGGUAGUUAGGAAUGAUUUCUUGUUUGGUACAUUAUCUAUCUUGAAUGUAUGGAUGUUUGAAAAAUGGUGAUUGAAUGAUAUGGAUUAGAGUACUGUUUAUGUGUUAA